rnacentral:lncRNA from 1 species
ACGCUUGUGAUCAUCGCCAUCACCCUCGCGAUCAUCGCCUACUGCGCUGUCUGCACCGACUUCGAGUGAUUUGACGGCUCGGAAUGCUGCACUGCUACGCGUCACCACCGGCUGACCGAGCACCUCAAGUCAUGCUGGUGAUCUUGGGAGUGAGAGCACGGCUCUCAAACGCUGCACUGCUACGCGUCGCCACCGACUGACCGAGCACCUCAAGUCAUGCUGGUGAUCUUGGAGCGAGAGCACGGCUCUCAAGGCUGCACUGCUACGCGUCACCACCGACUGACCGGGCGCCUUGAGCCAUUCUGGUGAUCCUGGAGAGAGAGCGCGGCUCU